GUGCUCACUUUGGCAGAACAUAUACUAAAAUUGGAAUAAUACAGAGAAGAUUAGCAUGGCCCCUGCACAAAGAUGAUGUGCAAAGAAACAAAAUGGAGCAAUUGUUA